rnacentral:rRNA from 1 species
UACGUAGGGUGCAAGCGUUGUCCGGAAUUAUUGGGCGUAAAGAGCUCGUAGGCGGUCUGUCGCGUCGGCUGUGAAAACCCGGAGCUCAACUCCGGGCCUGCAGUCGAUACGGGCAGACUGGAGUUCGGCAGGGGAGACUGGAAUUCCUGGUGUAGCGGUGAAAUGCGCAGAUAUCAGGAGGAACACCAAUGGCGAAGGCAGCUCGCUGGGACGGUACUGACGCUGAGACGCGAAAGCGUGGGGAGCAAACAGG